rnacentral:lncRNA from 1 species
GCAACUUCCUUCCCGGCGGCUGGGUCUUCUUCUCCGGUGGGGGGAUCUGCCGGCUAGGGUUAGGGUUUGGUGUGAAAAAUGUUAUUUAUAUCCGUACUCUUUUAAUUUGAGUCAUCCAUCGCGUUUGAUCUGAACUGUCUGAUUGCGAUUAAAUAGGGAGUGAAUUUGGGCCGUACGAUCGCGUUUAAAUAAGAAGUGGAUCUACACUGUUGAUUGCGUUUAUAUCUGACUGUCCGAUCGUGUCUGUGGAUAGAACGCAUUCGGCCUGUCCGUGCGCGCGGGAGUGAAUCUGGGUCGUCCGAUUGCGGGCACGCGGAUCGCCUGCGUGGCACCGCAUCAGUGUCUCUUGCCACAUGGCGUGUUCUGGUUCAUCGGGGGCUAUUGACUGGGCAUUCUACGUGGUACAACUUUUUUAAAUUGUAUUUUGAUCCCCAAUUUUCGAUUUUUCUUUCAAAAAUAACUCUAUAAUCCAAAUUUUCAUUCCUUUUUUCCAAAAUUAUUUUCAAUUUUAUUUUUCACC